rnacentral:rRNA from 1 species
CCUACGGGAGGCAGCAGUAAGGAAUAUUGGUCAAUGGACGCAAGUCUGAACCAGCCAUGCCGCGUGCAGGAUGAAGGCCCUCUGGGUUGUAAACUGCUUUUAUAGGGGACGAAAAAGGGACUUUCUAGUUCAACUGACGGUACCCUAGGAAUAAGCACCGGCUAACUCCGUGCCAGCAGCCGCGGUAAUACGGAGGGUGCAAGCGUUAUCCGGAUUUACUGGGUUUAAAGGGUGCGUAGGUGGGUCGGUAAGUCAGCGGUGAAAUCUUCAAGCUUAACUUGGAAACUGCCAUUGAUACUAUCGAUCUUGAAUCAUCUGGAGGUAAGCGGAAUAUGUCAUGUAGCGGUGAAAUGCUUAGAUAUGACAUAGAACACCAAUUGCGAAGGCAGCUUACUACGGAUGUAUUGACACUGAGGCACGAAAGCGUGGGGAUCAAACAGGAUUAGAUACCCUGGUAGUCCACGCCCUAAACGAUGGAUACUCGACAUACGUGAUAUACUAUGUGUGUCUGAGCGAAAGCAUUAAGUAUCCCACCUGGGAAGUACGAUCGCAAGAUUGAAACUCAAAGGAAAUUGACGG